GUGCUCGCUUCGGCAGCACAUAGAUUAAAUUGAGACAAUACAGAGAACAUUAGCAUGGGCCCUG
rnacentral:snRNA from 1 species